rnacentral:rRNA from 1 species
GACGUAGGGCGCGAGCGUUGUCCGGAUUUAUUGGGCGUAAAGAGCUCGUAGGCGGUUUGUCGCGUCUGCCGUGAAAGUCCGGGGCUCAACUCCGGAUCUGCGGUGGGUACGGGCAGACUAGAGUGAUGUAGGGGAGACUGGAAUUCCUGGUGUAGCGGUGAAAUGCGCAGAUAUCAGGAGGAACACCGAUGGCGAAGGCAGGUCUCUGGGCAUUAACUGACGCUGAGGAGCGAAAGCAUGGGGGAGCGAACAGG